GAUGAACGCUGGCGGCGUGCUUAACACAUGCAAGUCGAACGAUGAAGCCCAGCUUGCUGGGUGGAUUAGUGGCGAACGGGUGAGUAACACGUGAGUAACCUGCCCUUAACUCUGGGAUAAGCCUGGGAAACUGGGUCUAAUACCGGAUAGGAGCGUCCACCGCAUGGUGGGUGUUGGAAAGAUUUAUCGGUUUUGGAUGGACUCGGGGCCUAUCAGCUUGUUGGUGAGGUAAUGGCUCACCAAGGCGACGACGGGUAGCCGGCCUGAGAGGGUGACCGGCCACACUGGGACUGAGACACGGCCCAGACUCCUACGGGAGGCAGCAGUGGGGAAUAUUGCACAAUGGGCGCAAGCCUGAUGCAGCGACGCCGCGUGAGGGAUGACGGCCUUCGGGUUGUAAACCUCUUUCAGUAGGGAAGAAGCGAAAGUGACGGUACCUGCAGAAGAAGCACCGGCUAACUACGUG
rnacentral:rRNA from 1 species